UACGUAGGAUGCAAGCGUUGUCCGGAAUUAUUGGGCGUAAAGAGCGCGCAGGCGGUAACUCAAGUCAGAUGUGAAAUAUCCGGGCUUAACCCGGAGAGGUCAUUUGAAACUGAGUAACUAGAGUACAGCAGAGGAUAGCGGAAUUCCCGGUGUAGUGGUGAAAUGCGUAGAUAUCGGGAGGAACACCAGUGGCGAAGGCGGCUAUCUGGGCUGAAACUGACGCUGAGGCGCGAAGGCUAGGGGAGCAAACAG
rnacentral:rRNA from 1 species